rnacentral:rRNA from 1 species
GAUGAACGCUAGCUACAGGCUUAACACAUGCAAGUCGAGGGGAAACGACAUCGAAAGCUUGCUUUUGAUGGGCGUCGACCGGCGCACGGGUGAGUAACGCGUAUCCAACCUGCCCAUCACUUGGGAAUAACCUUGCGAAAGUAAGACUAAUACCCAAUGAUAUCCCACGAAGGCAUCGGAAUGGGAUUAAAGAUUUAUCGGUGAUGGAUGGGGAUGCGUCUGAUUAGCUUGUUGGCGGGGUAACGGCCCACCAAGGCAACGAUCAGUAGGGGUUCUGAGAGGAAGGUCCCCCACAUUGGAACUGAGACACGGACCAAACUCCUACGGGAGGCAGCAGUGAGGAAUAUUGGUCAAUGGGCGAGAGCCUGAACCAGCCAAGUAGCGUGCAGGAAGACGGCCCUAUGGGUUGUAAACUGCUUUUAUAAGGGAAUAAAGUGGGUCACGUGUGACUUUUUGCAUGUACCUUAUGAAUAAGGACCGGCUAAUUCCGUG